rnacentral:tmRNA from 1 species
GGGGCCGCCAUGGUUUCGACGGGGGUUACAAAGCGGAUGAGGGCAUGCCGGGAUUUCAGUCACCCCGUAAAACGCUGAAAAUUCUUAGUCGCAAACGACCAAGACUACGCUCUGGCUGCUUAAGCCGGACUCUGCACUAUUCCCUCCCAUCGGGUAGGCCGGGCAACCGGUAGCAGAGUCAUUUAGAUGGGAUCGCCUCGGCUCGGGUUACUUGGGACGGGGUUAAACCUAAGGUAACUCGCUGGUGCCAAGCCCGUCGGUUGGCGUGUCACCGGUCAAAAGUACUUAAAUGAGCCAGACUACGCAUGUAGAACUCUUCGUGGAGGGCUUUCGGACGCGGGUUCGACUCCCGCCGGCUCCACCA